UAAUAACGAUCACACCGUUAACAUGCGCAGUGCUGACAGCCGCACGUGCAAAACACCGGGCAACAAUUCGUUUCUCACGUGACAGCGGCUGUAAUCAGGAGUGAAGCGACUGCAGCAGCAGUGUGGAAGACACAUGCACGCGCAGCAGAGGGAGGAGUCGGGGAAAACCCCUGCGAGUCCUCCGCAACAGGACGCCAAGAAAAGCGCACACAUCCUCAAAGGCUGCAAACAAACAACCUGCAGGAAACCGACAGGCCCUCUGACGUCAGCGGGGGUCCCGUCUCCGCCCCCCAGCCAAAGGAAGCGCAGUCAGGGGGGUUCGCGACACACGUCACAGAAAGUCUGAGUUCUCAGAUCUUUUUGAUCAUUUAAGCGUCACUUUGCUUCGACUGUAUAACCCACUGGUUCCUGAGGCACACCGGAAGCAGGCGACGUUGAUGCUGGUCUGAUGUGUGAAUGCUUAAAGCGUGUCGUUGCUCGCGCGCCCUCUCAGCACUGGCCCCUUCAGUACACAGUUCAGGACUGGCGGUUUUCCCGGAGGUUCCUUGUUGUCAGGUCACGUUGUGUCCCGCAACUGGGCUUUCCCUUUACACACCUCACAACAACAGCAACAACAACAACCAUCAGUCCAACAGGCUGCAGCCAGGGGCGAUUCUAGUACCAGGAUAGGGCUCAGACCCCAAUCAGAAUGUCAUGCAUACAUACAGUGCCUUGCAAUUAAUAAAUAAUUAUUUUUAAUCACAUGAGUUUUACACCACUAAAGUUUCUUUUAAGAAAAUCUCAUCUCAUUAUCUCUAGCUGCUUUAUCCUGUUCUACAGGGUCGCAGGCAAGCUGGAGCCUAUCCCAGCUGACUACGGGCGAAAGGCGGGGUACACCCUGGACAAGUCGCCAGGUCAUCACAAGGCUGACACAUAGACACAGACAACCAUUCACACUCACAUUCACACCUACGGUCAAUUUAGAGUCACCAGUUAACCUAACCUGCAUGUCUUUGGACGAAACCGGAGCACCCGGAGGAAACCCACGCGGACAACAUGCAAACUCUACAUAGAAAGGCCCUCGCCGGUCACAGGGCUCGAACCCGGACCUUCUUGCUGUGAGGCGACAGCGCUAACCACUACACCACCGUGCCGCCCCGCAAUUCUAAAUGAAUAAUCAGAUUUCAAUAUAAUACACUUGUGUUAGCGUGGACCCUUUGGUUAGUUCAUGAAACCUGAGGCAAAGACUCGAUCAUGAUGGCCAGAACUUCCCAAAGCUCUACCAGUUUUGUUGGAAGGCUGUGUUUUGUGUGCCAAACUGAUCCUGUGGGUACUGAAACAGCUUUAACUGUUUAAGACCAGUGUCCUUGUCCCCUAAAUCAAAAUAAACAUCUUGAAACCCUG